CUCAAGCUAGCCUCGAAUUCAGAGAUCCGCCUGCCUCUGCCUCCCAAGUGCUGGGAUUAAAGGCGAGCACCAUCACCGCCCAGCUGCCUGCUGCCUUUUCUUCUUUCAACAUUUAAUGUGUAACUCACAGAGGCAUGCAAUCUAUGUUCCUUUUUUUUUUUGGAGCUGAUGAUUGAACCCAGGGCCUCGUGUUUGCCUAGCACUCUACCACUGAGCUAAAUCCCCAAGCCUCCUUUGGUCUCUUAAGUGCAGAUUGGAGAGCACCACACUCAACCUGAGGGCUUUUUCUUUUGGUGGCUCCACUAUUCGAGUUACUUCUGCCAACAGUUCAUUACAGCAUCCUCAUGGGUAUAUUGUCUAUCUGCUGAGACACCUCUGGGGCAGUUUUCAACAGCUAGGCAUGUAGCUUCUCUGAGUGUACCCCGUUACCCAAAUCCAACAUUGUAGCCAGCCCUACAGAUUCCUGGGUGUGUUUCCAUGCUUCUGUAUUUGAGGCAAGUGAUCUUUUCUUCUUCCCAUUCAUAUGAUGUAAUUUCCUAGUAGUAUUUCUUUCUCAAUAUGAUGAAAGAAUAUUUUGAUUUUGAUGAAAGAAUGAGAUAUUCCUGUGCAGUGUUUGGAAAACAAACACUCAGUUCCCCACAUAGGAAAUACAUCCAAGAGGCCUAGCUUGUGCCUGGUGUCCUGAAUGCCCCUAGCAGAUAUCAGAAAUAAAAUGACUGAGGAUAGCACUCUAGGUUUUACUCCCAAUGGCAGUAACAGGGUUGAGGGAAUGUCUCAGCUGUAGAAUCCCUUGAAUCCUUCAAGAAUAGCAAAGGCAGAAGAAGGUGGCAGCCAUCAGAAAUGGAAAGAAAUGAACAAAAAACAGAGCUUGAAGAAACUGCUUGUCUAAAGUGGGACACGGGACAAGGCAAACGUGAAGUUUACAAUGUAGUGCUUUCUCAUAGAUCCACUUGUACAGAUGCACAAGAACUUUAGCAAUAGGAUACGUACCUAAUACCUUAUCAAAAAUGUCCUGGAUUUCACCUAACAUUGAUGGGAAUGUCCAAGAGCAGCACACAAUCUGCUGGACCAACCACAUGAGAUCACUGCAAGGCUACUCAGCUGGAGCCGGGACUCAGAUGAGGAGCAUCCACAUAGUUUGGCCCAGAAUCAAGCUGGAGGAAAAGAGCUUCUCCAAGUUCAAGCCCACCUGAUCUCCCAGCUCUACCCCUCAACCCGGAAAGAAAAAGCAAAAGUAGUAAGUCCACUUGGAGCCCGAGUCCAGCACUUUGCUCUAGGGACCACCAGCAGGCUGGGACAAGUUGACAGUUAACCACUAGCUAGAACAUUAACCAAGGAUCAACUGUGAUCCACAUUGACUUCAUGAAAGAUGUUGAUCAUAACACUCAGCUGGGAGUUGCAAACAGGGUAAGACCUAAAGGCAGAGUCAAAUUUACCUUGCCUGUGAUUUCUGAAAUACUAAAGUGACUUGUUGAAGGACCACUAUUCUUUGUCUAACACAAAUAUGAAGAAAUACAUGAAUGGAUGAAUGAAUCAUAAUGGAAAGAGAAGAAUGAUGAGUGGCAGCACUGACCUGGGUAAUGGGUAAAAAUGUGUGCAUUGACAGGAUUCCUGUGUGGCUCUACAUAGAAGUACACUGUUCCUUAUCAAAGGCAUUCAACUCAACAAUAAAUCAAAGGCAUCCCCAACAAUUUAAUGGAAAUCUUGGAGCAUUAAUCUUCCAUAAAUGCCAGGCAUAGGACCUGAUGGUUGACUGUGACAGGCCCUCACUGUUAAGAAGUUCAUGGUAGGGCUGCAGAGGUAGCUCAGUUAAUAAAAACACUAGCUAUUCAUCUUGAGGACUUGGGUUUGAUUCUCAGCACCUACAUGGUGGCUAACAACCAUCUGUAACUCCAGUUCCUGGCAAUUCAAUAUCCUCUUCUGGCCUCCAUGGGCACUGUAUAGUCAUAUGUGGUGCACAGAUAUACAUGCACACAAAUACACAUAAAAGAAAUUAAAUAAUUUUUUUAAAGGAAGUUCAUGAUGUUUUAGAUUAGACACAUGUUUUAUUAUAACGACUUCAACUUGGUGUCCUUGUAACAUCUUGAAAAAUUUUUCUGUGAACCUCCCAAAAGACAACUCAACCUUGCAAGGUGUAAAAGGGCUGUGGGUAUGUUCCCCAGAAGAGGAGAGAACUGUGCCGUGUAUUAGAGGGUAGAGAGAGCUGUGCCUGUAGAAGGAAGGAAAACCGUUAGGACUACCAGACCCAGUAGAUAUAAAAGUACCAGAUGAACACAGAUCUAGCAUUUGCAAGAACCACUAUGAAGUUCCAUGGACUGGAGUGUGGGAGAUGAAGGGAAGUUUGAAGGAUAACAGGAGUAGAAUGAGGAAUCCUUGUCCCACAGUGCCAGGAAACCCAAAUGAGCAGGUUGGCUUGAGGGAAAUAAACAAAAUCAAAUGCUGUGGAUGAUUGAUUGAUUGAUAAAUAAAAUGCUGAUUGGCUAGUAGCCAGGCAGGAAGUAUAGGCAGGACAAAGAGAGAGGAGAAGUCUGGGAAGUGGAAGGCUGAAACAGAGAGACGCGGCCAGCCAAUGGCCAUGAUAAGCGAGAUGUAAGUUACCGGUAAGCCAUGAGCUAUGUGGCAACUUAUAGACUAAUAAAUAUGAGUUAAUUUGAGAUAUAGAAAGUAGAUAGCAAGACACCUGAGCCAUUAGGCUAAACAGUUUAAAUAAUGUAAACAUCUGUACGUUUAUUUUAUAAGCGGGCUUCGGGACUGCCAGGGAUUGGUGGGACAAAGAGAGAGGAGAAGUAUGGGCAGUGGAAAGCUGAGAGGGGGAGACGCCAGCCUGCUGUCCAGGGAGCAGCAUGUAAAGGCAGCAGGUAAAGCCACGGAACAUGUGGCGACAUAUAGAUUAACAGA